rnacentral:rRNA from 1 species
AACGAACGCUGGCUGCAUGCCUAACACAUGCAAGUCGAACGAGACCUUCGGUUCUAUUUUCUCACGGGUGCGUAACACUUGGGAAUCUGCCCUUUGCUUCGUACUAACAGUUAGAAAUGACUGCUAAUACCGGAUGAUGUCGAAAGACCAAAGAUUUAUCGGCAAAGGAUGAGCCCGCGUAGGAUUAGGUAGUUGGUGGGGUAAAGGCCUACCAAGCCGACGAUCCUUAGCUGGUCUGAGAGGAGGAUCAGCCACACUGGGACUGAGACACGGCCCAGACUCCUACGGGAGGCAGCAGUGGGGAAUAGUGGACAAUGGGCGAAAGCCUGAGCCAGCAAUGACGCGUGAGUGAUGAAGGCGUUAGGGUUGUAAAGCUCUGUUAACAGGGAUGAUAAUGACAGUACCUGGAGAAUAAGCUCAGGCUAACUCCGUG